rnacentral:rRNA from 1 species
CUUGCUCUUGUGGAUCAGUGGCGAACGGGUGAGUAACACGUGAGCAACCUGCCCCUGACUCUGGGAUAAGCGCUGGAAACGGCGUCUAAUACUGGAUAUGUGACGUGACCGCAUGGUCUGCGUUUGGAAAGAUUUUUCGGUUGGGGAUGGGCUCGCGGCCUAUCAGCUUGUUGGUGAGGUAAUGGCUCACCAAGGCGUCGACGGGUAGCCGGCCUGAGAGGGUGACCGGCCACACUGGGACUGAGACACGGCCCAGACUCCUACGGGAGGCAGCAGUGGGGAAUAUUGCACAAUGGGCGAAAGCCUGAUGCAGCAACGCCGCGUGAGGGAUGACGGCCUUCGGGUUGUAAACCUCUUUUAGCAGGGAAGAAGCGAAAGUGACGGUACCUGCAGAAAAAGCGCCGGCUAACUACGUGCCAGCAGCCGCGGUAAUACGUAGGGCGCAAGCGUUAUCCGGAAUUAUUGGGCGUAAAGAGCUCGUAGGCGGUUUGUCGCGUCUGCUGUGAAAUCCCGAGGCUCAACCUCGGGCCUGCAGUGGGUACGGGCAGACUAGAGUGCG